rnacentral:lncRNA from 1 species
CUCAGUUCUAUCACCUUCGAUUCCAAUGGCACCUACGUAUGUGAGGCCUCCCUGCCCACAGUCCCGGUCCUCAGCCGCACCCAGAACUUCACGCUGCUGGUCCAAGGCUCGCCAGAGCUAAAGACAGCGGAAAUAGAGCCCAAGGCAGAUGGCAGCUGGAGGGAAGGAGACGAAGUCACACUCAUCUGCUCUGCCCGCGGCCAUCCAGACCCCAAACUCAGCUGGAGCCAAUUGGGGGGCACCCGCAGAGCCAAUCCCCGGACGGCAGGGUUGGGUGAGCAGCUCUCUGACCCUGAAAGUGACCAGCGCCCUGAGCCGCGAUGGCAUCUCCUGUGAAGCCUCCAACCCCCACGGGAACAAGCGCCAUGUCUUCCACUUCGGCACCGCCCCCAGACCUCCCAGGCUGGAGUGGCCGUCAUGGCCGUGGCCGUCAGCGUGGGCCUCCUGCUCCUCGUCGUUGCUGUCUUCUACUGCGUGAGACGCAAAGGGGGCCCCUGCUGCCGCCAGCGGCGGGAGAAGGGGGCUCCGCCGCCAGGGGAGCCAGGGCUGAGCCACUCGGGGUCGGAGCAACCAGAGCAGACCGGCCUUCUCAUGGGAGGUGCCUCCGGAGGAGCCAGGGGUGGCAGCGGGGGCUUCGGAGACGAGUGCUGAGCCAAGAACCUCCUAGAGGCUGUCCCUGGACCUGGAGCUGCAGGCAUCAGAGAACCAGCCCUGCUCACGCCAUGCCCGCCCCCGCCUUCCCUCUUCCCUCUUCCCUCUCCCUGCCCAGCCCUCCCUUCCUUCCUCUGCCGGCAAGGCAGGGACCCACAGUGGCUGCCUGCCUCCGGGAGGGAAGGAGAGGGAGGGUGGGUGGGUGGGAGGGGGCCUUCCUCCAGGGAAUGUGACUCUCCCAGGCCCCAGAAUAGCUCCUGGACCCAAGCCCAAGGCCCAGCCUGGGACAAGGCUCCGAGGGUCGGCUGGCCGGAGCUAUUUUUACCUCCCGCCUCCCCUGCUGGUCCCCCCACCUGACGUCUUGCUGCAGAGUCUGACACUGGAUUCCCCCCCCUCACCCCGCCCCUGGUCCCACUCCUGCCCCCGCCCUACCUCCGCCCCACCCCAUCAUCUGUGGACACUGGAGUCUGGAAUAAAUGCUGUUUGUCACAUC